UACGUAGGCAGCGAGCGUUGUUCGGAGUUACUGGGCGUAAAGAGUGCGUAGGCGGUGCUCUAAGUUUGGUGUGAAAUCUCCCGCUCAACUGGGAGGGUGCGCCGAAAACUGGAGUGCUCGAGUAUGGGAGAGGUAAGCGGAAUUCCUGGUGUAGCGGUGAAAUGCGUAGAUAUCAGGAGGAACACCUGCGGUGUAGACGGCUUACUGGACCAUGACUGACGCUGAGGCACGAAAGCGUGGGGAGCAAACGGG
rnacentral:rRNA from 1 species